rnacentral:misc_RNA from 1 species
GUGAAUCAUCGAAUUUUUGAACGCAUAUUGCACUCUCUGGUAUUCCGGAGAGUAUGCCUAUUUGAGGGUCAUUUGAAAUAAUAUAAAUUCCAAGUUUUUCGGUAUUUGAAAUGGGUUUGCCCUUUUUUUUGGUUCACUAAAAUUCAAAGCCAGCGUAUUUUUUUUGGUUGGCUGUACCUUUCAGGUUACUCGU